GGCGUCUUCACGUUCUGCUCCAGUUCUCGAAAAGGACCCACGAGUCUUUGGUGGCUAAAGGAAGUUUGCCUUCCUUCAGAGGUGGCCACAAUCACUCAACCAAAUGAUUGUGGUUAUUGCUAUUGAAACUCAAAUGAGUUUCCAUCUUGUGGAGUUCUUGAAUGACCGCAGCACUUAUGUGGUAUCGUCAGACUGGGUGUUCGAAGCGGCCACUGGACUAUGUUCGUACUGGCCUUCAGAGGCCUCGAAACUGGAGAUGUUAAAGCUUCUAAGAAUCCAUCAUAAACCAGAUUCGUCAUGGAGCAUACAUGGAAUCC